AUGCUUAACACAUGCAAGUCGAACGGUAACGUAAGAAGCUUGCUUCUUGACGACGAGUGGCGGACGGGUGAGUAAUACUUAGGAAUCUGCCCAGUAGUGGGGGACAACUCGGGGAAACUCGAGCUAAUACCGCAUACGCCCUACGGGGGAAAGCGGAGGAUCUUCGGACUUCGCGCUAUUGGAUGAGCCUAAGUCGGAUUAGCUAGUUGGUAGGGUAAAGGCCUACCAAGGCUACGAUCCGUAGCUGGUCUGAGAGGACGAUCAGCCACACUGGGACUGAGACACGGCCCAGACUCCUACGGGAGGCAGCAGUAGGGAAUAUUGGACAAUGGGGGAAACCCUGAUCCAGCAAUGCCGCGUGUGUGAAGAAGGCCUGCGGGUUGUAAAGCACUUUCAGUAGAGAAGAAAAGCUUAGGAUUAAUACUCCUGAGUCUUGACGUAACCUACAGAAGAAGCACCGGCUAACUCCGUGCCAGUAGCCGCGGUAAUACGGAGGGUGCGAGCGUUAAUCGGAAUUACUGGGCGUAAAGCGCGCGUAGGCGGUUUGGUAAGUCGGAUGUGAAAGCCCAGGGCUUAACCCUGGAAUUGCAUCCGAUACUGCUUAACUAGAGUAUGGUAGAGGGAAGUGGAAUUUCCGGUGUAGCGGUGAAAUGCGUAGAUAUCGGAAGGAACACCAGUGG
rnacentral:rRNA from 1 species